rnacentral:rRNA from 1 species
UACGUAGGGUGCAAGCGUUAAUCGGAAUUACUGGGCGUAAAGCGUGCGCAGGCGGUUUUGUAAGUCUGUCGUGAAAGCCCCGGGCUCAACCUGGGAAUUGCGAUGGAGACUGCAAGGCUUGAAUCUGGCAGAGGGGGGGUAGAAUUCCACGUGUAGCAGUGAAAUGCGUAGAGAUGUGGAGGAACACCGAUGGCGAAGGCAGCCCCCUGGGUCAAGAUUGACGCUCAUGCACGAAAGCGUGGGGAGCAAACAGG